UCUCAGAGGGGUUUUUAUUAAUAACUUAUAUUGGUUCAGCAACCUCAUGUUUGUAUGGCAUUGUAUAGUUUUGUAAAAUAUACAACUGAAUUGGAAAACUCUCUAUGGAAAAUAAAUGUGGGGAAAGUGAGGCUCUACACAUUCAGAAACAUGGUGGAAACCCGGUUAGCUGGGGCACUGGGGCUUGGUUCCUUGAACUUGCUGUCCGGUUUGUGUCCUUACUGGGUCCAUCGCCGGGGCAUCAAGUUUCAGCUGAAGGCAUCUAUGGCAGGAAGUGGGGAUGUACACAGGCUUACUUGUCCCUCGAAGCUGGGAAUGAGUGAGGGAGAUCUUCCAGAACCUCGCCAUCUCCACCUAGUGAUUUUUUUGGGUCCUCUCCCUGGCUUCUCCUGCUGUUAGCUCAGGAACGUAGCCAUCCCCCUCAGUGUUCCUGAAUUGCCAUGGUAACUGACAGAUUUCUGUAUCUAAGGUGCGGAUCCCAUUGUUUCGUAGCUCUCUAUUCUUUAACAGGAAGCCCAAUUCAUAAGUAUUAUUGCAUUCAAAACUCACAUUCCUCACUCAUAAAAAUCACUUUGUCCCUGAGAGCUGCAUUCUAGCACUCCUCCCUCUUGCCGCCUUCUGGAAAAUGAACCUGGGGGCAGGAAGAGAGAAGAGAAGGAAAGGAGAGACACCAGGUGGGAAGCUCUGACCAGCAUCCGGGACACUGUACGCUACGAAAGAACCAGAAGCCAGAGAGGCUGUUUUACCAUCAUCGAAGAGCAGAAAGGCAUACAGGACACCAGGGAUCUGGCUCCUUCACGUACCACAUGGGCUAUGUUUUUUCAGGACUAAUUCCAUUCCAGGGAGGCUCUGAUCCUGUGGUCCUGUGAUGACUGAAGGCAACUUCGGGGACUAUGUGCGACUUAAUUCAUGUUCAUCAGUUAAUGCAAUCCACCUUCCAGUCAUGCAAACCAAAGUUACAGAAUUGCUCUAGCUGUG